GUGUGUGUGUGUGUGUGUGUGUGUGUGUGUGUGUGUGUGUGUGUGUGUGUGUGUGUGUGUGUGUGUGUGUGUGUGUGUGUGUUUGUGUUCGUGUUCUGGCAAUGCUUACUUAAUGGGGACUUCACUCUGUUUACAAAGUCACCUUUAGGGGACCUUUGACGGUAUGGGGACAAAAACACAGGUCCCCUAAAGGAAAACCUUUUAAAAUAAUAGUAAGAACCAAUCUGAAGAUGCUUAAGUGAUUUUUUAGCUUUUUUUUCCAUAAAACAUGUUUACUGGUUAGUUUGAGUGUGAGACAUUUGCACAGCAGCCCCCUCAUCAGCUGUAGCUGGUACUGCACUCGCUUUUCUGUGCAUAUCCCUUCCCUGAUUAGUUAUCACUACCUGGUCCCCAUAAGAAAGGAGGUUUGUCUGCAGUGCAGGAGAUGUCAGCUAAUGGGACUCAAAAAUAAGCUGUUUAAACCAAAAGAUGAAAGACAGAUGCCCUGGCUUAAAAAGUCCUCCAGUCUGUGACAGCACAACAGUAGACCACAUGGACUUGGACGUAAACAGCAUAACACCUGAUGUCACUAGAACAGAGGAACCCUGCUCAAGUCAGGAAACAAUUAACACCGUAGUUGUUUGUGCUUCCCUCAAAAAACAUUGAAAAAGAGUUUACACCAAAACAUUAUUGCUUGUAUUACAGUAAGCAUUAUGCCAAGAUGGCAAGGCAUCUAGAAACUCCACACAAAAACAGAUUGGAAGUAGCCCCACCUCUUAGCUUUCCAACAAGUUCCAUGAAGAGAAGGAAACAGCUAGAAUAUAUUCAUAAUAAAGGGAACUAUGCUCACAAUGCUGCUAUUAUGGAGUCAGGAAAGGGUGAACCAGUGCCAUUCAAACGACCAUCUAAAGCAAAAGGAAAUGAUUUUAUGCACUAUGCACAUUGCCAAGGACUGUUUACGAGAAAGGUACUGUGGAGACGCAUGCAAAGUUGUCCCCUCACACCUGCAUCAGUCACCCGAAAACCAGGAAAUAACUAUUUCCAGUCGAUGUGCACAUACUGUAUAUUGGGCCUGUGCCGUCAAGUAUAUCCAAACAACUGUGGGGAGUAAUAUGUGCCAUGAUUCCCACAGUGCCACAUCGCUGCGCUGCUGACCCGUCUCCGCCCGGGAUGGUCUCCUGCUGGCACCACUAUGGACUGGACUCUCACUACUAUGUUAGAUCCACUAUGGACUGGACUCUCACUAUUAUGUUAGAUCCACUAUGGACUGGACUUUCACAAUAUUAUGUCAGACCCCCUGACGUCCAUUGCAUCCGAUCUCCCCUAGGGGGAGGUUGGAAAGGGUUACCCACAUUUGCGGUCCUCUCCAAGGUUUCUCAUAGUCAUUCUCAUCGACGUCCCACUGGGUUGGGAGUUUUUCCUUGCCCUUAUGUGGGCACUGAACCACGGAUGUCGUUGUGGCUUGUGCAGCCCUUUGAGACACUUGUGAUUUUAGGGCUAUAUAAAUAAACAUUGAUUUAUUGAUGAUUCCUGAUCCAAUCGCAGAAAUAAUUAAAGAUGACCAUGUCAUCACAGAUAUUGGGUAGCAUCUGUUGAACAAAAGUGGUAUGUACGCAAAAAAUCAACAAUGUGUCAGAAACAAGAUGCGGAAAUUAGGAAGACUGAUUCAUAAUGCCAGGAGAGUAACUACCUUGAAAAAAUUUUCUGAUUUCGUGAAUCCUAAGAACUACUUUGAGAUGGUCAAAGCUAUCAAAUGUACUUGUGGCUAUGAUAGUGACACUAACAAAUUCUGGAUUCCAUCACUGGCAAAUAAACUUUGGAAUUUCCUGGUUAGUCAGCAAACUCUUGAAAGCACAAGGUUGGAUAAUGAACAAUGAAGAGCUGGUAAGGAAUGCCACUCAGUUUCAAAAAGUCCAUCGUGAGAAGUGGAACGAGUUGAUCUCUGCAACAGCCCUGAGGAACAAAGCUGAAGGAAAGUGGAAUGCACCACAAUUCAUGCCCUUCACUGAGGAUGUUCAAAAAAUGCAUCAGUUUCUCAGUCAAAUAUAUGAGUGCAGCUGUGCGCUAUCUGAAAAUUAUUUCACGAAGGCUUGGUCAGAACUGACAAAAAUGUGUUUGACACAGAUCAUCCUUUUUAACAGACAAAGAGAAGGAGAGGUAGCAGCCAUGCCCUUGUUGGCUUUUUUUUGUCAUGAGACACAACUGAUCCUCACAAAGAUGUUGAUUGGGCACUCUCUGAAAUGGAAAAAAAACUGUGCAGACAUUUUUCAAGGAUUGUCAUCAGGGGAAAACGAGGUUGACUUGUUCCUAUUCCCUUGACUCCAAAAAUGGUGUGUGCAUUAGAAUUUCUCGUUAAGUACAGGGAAACUUGCGGGGUUCUCAAAGACAACAGUUACCCGUUUGCAAGACCCACAGCGAUGACACAUCCCCGUGGUUCUGACUGCAGACGAGACAAUGCAAAAGCAUGUCAUGGAAAGUAUCCUGUGUCACUUACAUCCACAAAACUAUGAAAACAUGCUGCCACCUUUUCAACUGUGCUAAACAUGACAGACACAGAGAUGGACCAGCUGGCCAACUUUCUUGGCCAUGAUAUUAGAAUCCAGGGUGAGUUAUAUAGACUCCUUGAAUAGACAUUGCAGCUGGCAAAUAUCAGCAAAGUUUUGAUGGCAUGCACUCAAGCAAAGUUGAUUAUCAGAGUUCCAUGGCAAGAACUUAGAUGAAAUCACAAUUGGUCCAAAUGGUAUGUUGUCAUCUUUGUCGUUUCCUUUGUCUAUAAUUUUUUUCCAUCCUUUUUGUUUGGUUUGAACUCAAUUAUAAGCUUAACAUGGUAUGUCUCCCACAGAAAGUAUUGUGGAAACUGAAGAGGAAUAUCUAACCAGAGAGGACAAUACUCAUUUUUGUGGUUUAUUAAAUGUGGCCUAUAGUAAGCAUGACACUGAAUGUUUAUUACAUUGAACCCACCAAAGAGGGGGGCUUUCCAACCACUGAGGAGGAAACAAUCCCACACUCCAAGAGACUGACACAACUUUCAAGAGAAGGGGAGGUAUCAUCAGGAGAUUGUGCAGUGAGACAUUCUUCCAAAGAAGAGGGGGCCUUUCCAACCACUGAGGAGGAAGAAAUCCCACCCCCCAAGAGACUGACACAACUUUCAAAAGGGGAUACAUCCUCAGCAGAUCAUGCAUUGAGACAUUCUUCCAAAGGUAAAGCUACCCAGAAAAGGCGACCCUGGAUACAGAAAGAGGUGAAGCCUGUCGAGAAGCACAUGAAGCUAUUCAUCCCUUCUGGUAUUGUACCAGAAAAAAGUGACUGUUUAAAAUGUUUGAGGGCUGAACCGAAAGCUCUCCAAAACCGGGAACGACAAGCAUUGAAGUUCUAUGUGUACAAUCGCAUUACAGCCUACAAAAGGAGAUUGCAGCUAAAAUAGUAGAUUAAGAGAAUCAGCAAGACUUGUUAAGUAGAAGAGUUUAUGUUCUUUAUGUUCA